GUGAAGGAAACAAAGGCAAGUCUGAGCAGUAGCUCUGUGCUGGGCUGAUUCCAGGGGGAUGGUCAGUCCUUUGCAAGGGAAUUUAAUAUCCAAUCUUUCUGUCUCAUGACAAUGAAGUAAUGUGAAGUGAUACGUCUUAACAAAAGGAUGCUGAUGAUACCACACUCACCACCUAUUGAUGAACAAAGCUGAAUUUUAGAUCCUACAGUUAAGUGAUUAUGCAUGAAAGGAUGGAUUGUAGUUCUGGAGGGGACACAACCUGUCUGAAUCUGAGCCACUUCAGUGCACAUGCCUGGGGAGUGUGAGAGCACCAUUGUCUCAGGGGCACUGUGAAAGGGCACCCAAGUUUGUGUCUGUGCAAAAAAGAUCAUUGGAUAUACGAGGACUACAGACCCAGUGAACUUCAGACUCAGAAAAGUGCUGGCGUCUCCAGGCACACCCCCAGCUCCAGAGCUCUUUGCAGAGAGUACAGAAUUGAUCCUCUGGCUGAAGCAUCCUCUGCAGUGCAGACUGACAGUGCAGAACACGGCCCUGGGAAAGAAGCAUUUCAAUCUGCUUGUAGGAGGGAGCUUCAAGGACAGGCCUGCGACACACCCGGUGACUGAGCGUGGUGGUUGCUACGGAAGCUGCUCUGAUUCCCAGUCUCAAAAUACCUUUGGCCAGGGGUCUGUUGGGACUGCAGGGAGCUCACCCAAGAAGCACCCAAGGCUCAGGACUUCAUUUCAAAUGACUCCUUGUGGACAAAGAGAAGAAAUUGACCUUGAGAAGUUUCACUUGCUGUGAUAGGAAGACGAUCUAGGCGUGCUUUGGGUGUGGCUAGAUUUCCUUUUACGGCUGCAGCCCCGUUUCUCAUCACCUGCCCCUCACAUUCUUUUCUCUGGCCUGUUCCACAGUGGGCAGGUCUAUGCAAACCUACUCACAAAGUCCGAGGAAGCCAACAGGCUGAAGAAAGAGGCUGAUGUAUCCAGUUUCUCAGAAAGAAACAUUUAAUAGGGACUUACGAACAGGAGCCCCGUCAGCAUCUCAGGUGGCGGUGAGACAGGAUGGGACCCUGGAUGAUGACACUGCUGCCAAGUCAAGUGUUGAGGUCCCACGAAAAGGAAACUGAGCAAUGGAGCAUCUUCCAUCAUCGAUGAAGCACUUCAGUCACUAUUCAUCACAACUCGUUGGCUAUAUGGAGCCUCUCGGUCCUACCUAUAAAAGAAGGGCUAAACAAUUUAAUUCUCCCUGUCUUCAAAAUGAGAAGACAAUAGUUAGGCAUGAGCUAGCUACCAUUAAUUACUGUUCCAUUGGGUACUAUAUACUCGCAGAUAUGGAUACAAAGGAUGGUUCCGGGUGGUGCAGGAAUCCAGCUGUCCUUCCUUCAGGACUCUGUUUCUCCAUCAUCACUGAAGGUUUACAAAUGAAUAGCUUCACGUACAAUUUCCCUUCUACAGAGGCAAAUGCAAUCCUGACAAUUAGUUAUUGACAGAGGACAAAUACUUCCUGCAGGCAAAGGCAACGUGGAGUUAUCAUUUUGGACAGGGCCAAACUGAUAAGGGGGCUCUCUUCUCAGAAGAAUGUCUCUCUGUUUGGAAGUUCACAAUCCACUCUAUGGGAUUAAAC
rnacentral:lncRNA from 10 species